AGUGAACGCUGGCGGUAGGCCUAACACAUGCAAGUCGAACGGCAGCACAGUAAGAGCUUGCUCUUACGGGUGGCGAGUGGCGGACGGGUGAGGAAUACAUCGGAAUCUACUUUUUCGUGGGGGAUAACGUAGGUAAACUUACGCUAAUACCGCAUACGACCUACGGGUGAAAGCAGGGGAUCUUCGGACCUUGCGCGAUUGAAUGAGCCGAUGUCGGAUUAGCUGGUUGGCGGGGUAAAGGCCCACCAAGGCGACGAUCCGUAGCUGGUCUGAGAGGAUGAUCAGCCACACUGGAACUGAGACACGGUCCAGACUCCUACGGGAGGCAGCAGUGGGGAAUAUUGGACAAUGGGCGCAAGCCUGAUCCAGCCAUACCGCGUGGGUGAAGAAGGCCUUCGGGUUGUAAAGCCCUUUUGUUGGGAAAGAAAAGCAGCAGGUUAAUACCCCGCUGUUCUGACGGUACCCAAAGAAUAAGCACCGGCUAACUUCGUG
rnacentral:rRNA from 1 species